rnacentral:rRNA from 1 species
GCACAACGCGAAGAACCUUACCCACCUUUGACAUGUACGGAAUCCUUUAGAGAUAGAGGAGUGCUCGAAAGAGAGCCGUAACACAGGUGCUGCAUGGCUGUCGUCAGCUCGUGUCGUGAGAUGUUGGGUUAAGUCCCGCAACGAGCGCAACCCUUGUCCUUAGUUGCCAGCAUUUAGUUGGGCACUCUAGGGAGACUGCCGUCGACAAGACGGAGGAAGGUGGGGAUGACGUCAAAUCAUCAUGCCCCUUAUGUCCUGGGCUACACACGUGCUACAAUGGUCGGUACAGAGGGUUGCCAAGCCGCGAGGUGGAGCUAAUCUCACAAAACCGAUCGUAGUCCGGAUCGCAGUCUGCAACUCGACUGCGUGAAGUCGGAAUCGCUAGUAAUCGCGAAUCAGAAUGUCGCGGUGAAUACGUUCCCGGGUCUUGUACACACCG